UUUCAGGGGGAAAAAAUGUGGAAAUAUACAUUUGGAGGAUUUCUUAUAUUUAAAAAUUGAGAUACUCAGGUUUCCUUUACUGUGGGGAGAAACCUCUUUAGAACAGAACAGUGAGGGUUUUUAAAUUGUUGUUUAUUUUUCUUUUUCUAGAAACAAAUCUAAAACCAUAAAGUUUGAUUGUUUUCAUUAAAAUUUCCUAAGACUUUAUUCAUUCAGAUUUGCCUGACUUAAUUAGUUUGACCUGCUUAUCUUAUUUUUAACUUUGAGGCUUGGUAGCAAUAAGAAAAAGCAAACACCUUGAGGAAAUAGUAUAUACCAUGCAGUAAAUACUGAAAAUUUUACUUUGCAUACACUAUCCUAUCUCAGGACAAUUAUUUUCCCAACAUCUUUUGCAUUUUUUCAAAUCAAACUCCUCACUCUUUUGUUACUGAAUUCUGGGGAAAAAAGUG
rnacentral:lncRNA from 1 species